GCGCGAUUACUAGCGAAUCCAACUUCACGGAGUCGGGUUGCAGACUCCGAUCCGGACUGAGAUCGACUUUCUGAGAUUCGCUUAAGGUCACCCUCUCGCUGCCCUCUGUUUCGACCAUUGUAGCACGUGUGUAGCCCCGGACGUAAGGGCCGUGCUGAUUUGACGUCAUCCCCACCUUCCUCUCUACUUGCGUAGGCAGUCUAUCCAGAGUCCCCACCAUCACGUGCUGGUAACUGAAUAUGAGGGUUGCGCUCGUUAUGGGACUUAACCCGACACCUCACGGCACGAGCUGACGAUAACCAUGCAGCACCUCAUAAGAUGUCUUGCGACUAUACCCUUUCAGAUAUAUCCAUCUUACGUUCAAGCCCGGGUAAGGGUCCUCGCGUAUCAUCGAAUUAAACCACAUGCUCCUCCGCUUGUGCGGGCCCCCGUCAAUUCCUUUGAGUUUCAACGUUGCCGUCGUACUCCCCAGGUGGAUAACUUAUUGAUUUCUCUCAGCCUCUAACUG
rnacentral:rRNA from 1 species